rnacentral:rRNA from 1 species
UACGAAGGGGGCUAGCGUUGCUCGGAAUUACUGGGCGUAAAGGGCGCGUAGGCGGCGCGGCUAGUCAGGCGUGAAAUCCCUCGGCUUAACCGGGGAACUGCGUCUGAUACUGGAUGGCUUGAGUUUGGGAGAGGGAUGCGGAAUUCCAGGUGUAGCGGUGAAAUGCGUAGAUAUCUGGAGGAACACCGGUGGCGAAGGCGGCAUCCUGGGACCAAUACUGACGCUGAGGAGCGAAAGCGUGGGGAGCAAACAGG